ACAUACGACCAAAGGUUCAAGACUGCGACGGAUCCCGUUCGAUCUCCGAUAUCUAAGCUUGUGACCGGCCUGUUAGUAGUUGGGCGGGAGACCACCAGCGAAUCCGGGCUGUUGUAUGUU
rnacentral:rRNA from 1 species